rnacentral:lncRNA from 1 species
CGAAGAUGAUUCUACGGAUUCGAAUUCGGAUUCUGAUGACGAUGACGACGAAGAUGAUGAAGAUGAGGAAGGCGAUGAUAACGAAGACGAAGAAGACUCUCUUGUUGAUAAAGUCACUCGUCUAUUCAAAGGUUUACCAAUUUUUAGGGUUUUUGUGAAUUCUUGAUCUGUUCACACUUACUUCCUUUGCAUCAAUUUAGGGUUUAUUAAUCUUCCAUUGGUUAAUACUUGGGAAAAUUUUGCUUAAUUUUGGGGGAAAAUCAUUGGAAUUGGUUCAUUCUAAGUUUCUGUAAGAACUUGGGAAUGUUGUUGCUACAUAGCUUGUGUAGUCACUAAAAAUCUCUCUGUUGGGUUUUAGGGAAACAAGAUUGAGAGACUCAUUUACAUUUCUUUGCUGAGAAAGCUUUUUUAAGGUAAUUAAAUCGACUAAGAUCAGACAAAACAUAAGCACUUCUCUUGUUGUUGUUGUUGUUGUUGUGUUUUCAAUCUUUUGACAGAGAGCUCCAUUGUUGUUGCAUCUUUGCUAGAAUUUUCUCGGUUAUGUGAUAUCUUUCUUCUUUGUGAUCGUAUAUGUUUCCUCAGGAUAAUAGAUAGGAGCAAAGAAGCAGUUUAUCAAAGAUCAUCUAUUGGAAAGGUAAACUAAAUCAUAUACUUUUCCUAUACAAUGCUCAGAGAUGUCGAGAAUUUGUUUUACAUGAGGGAUAUUUUUUGUUCUCUUUACACUUAUAUAGUUAUCUCAGCUUCAAUUAGAGAGUUUUAGAGAUUUUAUAAUGGCUAUCCCCCAAAGACGAUUUGUAAACUCUUGUUUUGAUAACUAUAAGUACGAAAUGUAUCUGAUGAAUACCAGUAUUUAUAUAACUCACUGUUCCCGGUCUAGUUUUGCGUUCUUCAUGCACACAAUGAUCUAGUUUAAAUGUGUAGUCAAAGAACUCUUAAUGUGAUCUUG